rnacentral:misc_RNA from 1 species
UGAAAAUCAGAAAUUACCCUAGAUUAUGUGUGUUCUCAUUCCUUGAGUUGAAACCCUAAAUUUAAUGAGUAUUAAUGCACAGAAAAUAAAAACAAAAUGUGGACAUGUUGCAGUGGUAAAUCUGAUGGCUUUAUUGAGAAAGAAUCGCAUAUCUAAAAUUUGAAAAGGGCAUGCAAAAGAAACAGAAGCUUACCUGCAAUGAAAAGGACAGGGACGAUUUCGGGAUGAGGGAGAGAAGC